rnacentral:rRNA from 1 species
CUACGGGGCGCAGCAGUGGGGAAUAUUGGACAAUGGACCAAAAGUCUGAUCCAGCAAUUCUGUGUGCACGAUGACGGUCUUCGGAUUGUAAAGUGCUUUCAGUUGGGAAGAAAAAAGUGACGGUACCAACAGAAGAAGCGACGGCUAAAUACGUGCCAGCAGCCGCGGUAAUACGUAUGUCGCAAGCGUUAUCCGGAUUUAUUGGGCGUAAAGCGCGUCUAGGUGGUUUGAUAAGUCUGAUGUGAAAAUGCGGGGCUCAACUCCGUAUUGCGUUGGAAACUGUCAAACUAGAGUAUCGGAGAGGUGGGCGGAACUACAAGUGUAGAGGUGAAAUUCGUAGAUAUUUGUAGGAAUGCCGAUAGAGAAGUCAGCUCACUGGACGAAUACUGACACUGAAGCGCGAAAGCAUGGGGAGCAAACAGGAUUAGAUACCCGAGUAGUC